CUCUUUUCAUUUAAGAGUCUCCUCUUGUCGGUGCAACUAAUUCAUGCAUCUUCCUCCAGCCAGCUCUAUCCCAGGCCAUAUAUUGCUUAUGACUGUAUCAUUUUUAAAUGGUUACAUAGAAAAAAAAAAAGACAUGCACAGAUCGUUUACUAACUAUGCCAA